UACGUAGGGAGCAAGCGUUGUCCGGAAUCAUUGGGCGUAAAGCGCGCGUAGGCGGCCUUGUAAGUCCGUUGUGAAAGUCAAAGGCUCAACCUUUGAAAGCCGAUGGAUACUGCAAGGCUGGAGUCCGGAAGAGGCGAGUGGAAUUCCUGGUGUAGCGGUGAAAUGCGCAGAUAUCAGGAGGAACACCAAUGGCGAAGGCAGCUCGCUGGGACGUGACUGACGCUGAGACGCGAAAGCGUGGGGAGCAAACAGG
rnacentral:rRNA from 1 species